CUACGGGCUGCAGCAGUGGGGAAUCUUGGACAAUGGGCGCAAGCCUGAUCCAGCCAUGCCGCGUGAGUGAAGAAGGUCUUCGGAUUGUAAAGCUCUUUUACCAGGGACGAUAAUGACGGUACCUGGAGAAUAAGCCCCGGCAAACUUCGUGCCAGCAGCCGCGGUAAUACGAAGGGGGCUAGCGUUGUUCGGAAUUACUGGGCGUAAAGCGCACGUAGGCGGGUCGUUAAGUCAGGGGUGAAAUCCCGGAGCUCAACUCCGGAACUGCCUUUGAUACUGGCGAUCUUGAGAUCGGAAGAGGUGAGUGGAAUUCCCAGUGUAGAGGUGAAAUUCGUAGAUAUUGGGAAGAACACCAGUGGCGAAGGCGGCUCACUGGUCCGAUACUGACGCUGAGGUGCGAAAGCGUGGGGAGCAAACAGGAUUAGAUACCCCAGUAGUC
rnacentral:rRNA from 1 species